AUUGAACGCUGGCUGCAGGCCUAACACAUGCAAGUCGAACGAGUGGCGGACGGGUGAUUAAUGUCUGGGAAACUGCCUGAUGGAGGGGGAUAACUACUGGAAACGGUAGCUAAUACCGCAUACCAUCAGAUGUGCCCAUAUGGGAUUAGCUAGUGGGUGGGGUAACGGCUCACCAAGGCGACGAUCCCUAGCUGGUCUGAGAGUAUGAACAGCAACACUGGAACUGAGACACGGUCCAGACUCCUACGGGAGGCAGCAGUGGGGAAUAUUGCACAAUGGGCGCAAGCCUGAUGCAGCCAUGCCGCGUGUAUGAAGAAGGCCUUCGGGUUGUAAAGUACUUUCAGCGGGGAGGCGUUACCCGCAGAAGAAGCACCGGCUAACUCCGUGCCAGCAGCCGCGGUAAUUC
rnacentral:rRNA from 1 species